rnacentral:rRNA from 1 species
UACGUAGGGUGCGAGCGUUAAUCGGAGUUACUGGGCGUAAAGCGUGCGCAGGCGGCUUUGCAAGACAGAUGUGAAAUCCCCGGGCUCAACCUGGGAACUGCAUUUGUGACUGCAUGGCUAGAGUGCGGCAGAGGGGGAUGGAAUUCCGCGUGUAGCAGUGAAAUGCGUAGAUAUGCGGAGGAACACCGAUGGCGAAGGCAAUCCCCUGGGCCUGCACUGACGCUCAUGCACGAAAGCGUGGGGAGCAAACAGG